rnacentral:sRNA from 14 species
GUUGGUUUCGGUGAUAUGGUGCCCAAAACUUACCUGGGAAUGCUCGUCGGAUCCCUUUGUGCUUUGAUGGGAGUACUCACAAUUGCUCUACCGGUUCCAGUAAUUGUGUCUAAU